GUAGGUGGCAAGCGUUGUCCGGAAUUAUUGGGCGUAAAGCGCGCGCAGGCGGUUUUUUAAGUCUGAUGUGAAAGCCCACGGCUCAACCGUGGAGGGUCAUUGGAAACUGGAGAACUUGAGUACAGAAGAGGAAAGCGGAAUUCCACGUGUAGCGGUGAAUGCGUAGAGAUGUGGAGGAACACCAGUGGCGAAGGCGGCUUUCUGGUCUGUAACUGACGCUGAGGCGCGAAAGCGUGGGGAGCAAACAGGGAUUAGAUACCCUGGUAGUCCACGCCGUAAACGAUGAGUGCUAAGUGUUAGGGGGUUUCCCGCCCCUUAGUGCUGCAGCUAACGCAUUAAGCACUCCGCCUGGGGAGUACGGCCGCAAGGCUG
rnacentral:rRNA from 1 species